rnacentral:rRNA from 1 species
GACGUGUGAGGCAAGCGUUAUUCGUCAUUAAUGGGUCUAAAGGGUGCGUAGGUGGGUUGGUAAGUCAGUGGUGAAAUCCCCGAGCUUAACUUGGGAACUGCCAUUGAUACUAUCAGUCUUGAAUACCGUGGAGGUCAGCGGAAUAUGUCAUGUAGCGGUGAAAUGCUUAGAUAUGACAUAGAACACCAAUUGCGAAGGCAGCUGGCUACACGAAUAUUGACACUGAGGCACGAAAGCGUGGGGAUCAAACAGG